AGUGAACGCUGGUGGCGUGCUUAACACAUGCAAGUCGAACGAGAAACGGAUUUAGCUUGCUAAAUUGCAGUCUAAGUGGCGCACGGGUGAGUAAUGUAUAGGUAAUAUGCCUCUUACUAAGGGAUAACAAUUGGAAACGAUUGCUAAUACCUUAUAUGCCUUUAAUACGAAAGUAUGCAAGGGAAAGAUUUAUUGGUAAGAGAUUAACCUGUAUGGUAUCAGCUUGUUGGUGAGGUAAUGGCUCACCAAGGGUAUGACGCCUAACUGGUUUGAGAGGAUGAUCAGUCACACUGGAACUGAGACACGGUCCAGACUCCUACGGGAGGCAGCAGUGGGGAAUAUUGCACAAUGGACGAAAGUCUGAUGCAGCAACGCCGCGUGGAGGAUGACACAUUUCGGUGCGUAAACUCCUUUUAUAUAGGAAGAUAAUGACGGUACUAUAUGAAUAAGCACCGGCUAACUCCGUGCCAGCCGCCGCAGUAA
rnacentral:rRNA from 1 species